GUUGGCAACCUGCAGCUAACGCACCUCUCCUGGAGAUCCCCUUCUCAUUUCCUCCUUGGGGCUGUGCUCUGCUGCCAGGAUGGCUCAGUGGAAGCUGACACAGGCAGCAGGAGUUGCUGCUCCUGAGCACAUGUAAUGUGUUCUCUUCUACCUUCCAUGGCAUCACUUAUCCUUCUCAGAUACUUGAAGCAGCAACCAGUGGAAGCUGAACUGGUAAAAAUCAAGGAACAUUCUUGGCAGCAGAAACUUCUGCUUCAGGAGCCAGGUGCGGGGCUGUAAAAUUUGGAUUUUUAAUGGGAUGGAGAAGCACAGAUUUCAGCUACCUCUUCAUUGCAGUGGGUAUUGCCAAGCUAAUAAUGCAGUUACAGGGUGCUGCUUUCAAUGAGGGGUAAGUUGUGCCAAAAAAAGCAACACUCAUAAAUUAGGUCAUAUAUUCAUGUUGUCCAAUUGUUUCAUGUACCAAGUUUACUAAGUAUUUUCUUUAAAGGUAAAGAAUAACCAAGGGUAUAUUGUACAGAUUAUUUUUCAAAACAAGUUUCCAAAAAUAAUAAACACAGGAAAGAAAGUUCAUAUUAGUUAUUAAAAACUUAGCUAAUAGAAUUUAAAGUAAGUAAAGUAAAAUUUUUUUGUAAUAGAAUAGUGGAAAAAAAUUAUCAUUCUUUUCCAGGAGAGCUUUCCAUGCUAAAUUGCACUCAUGUACAAGAACUGUAGGAAUGCUACAGUUUCAGCAGGAUAAAUGAAGUUAUAUAUGAUAAACUGCAGUUUAAACCAUGCAUAUUUUAUGAGUAAGGAGAAACCAUUUAUGAAAACAGAAAUCCAACUGCUGGUGAGGGUGAGGUGCAAAGAGUGUCCCUGUGCCAACAGCAAUUGUUCUCAUUGCUUCAAAAAGGGGGAAGAAGCUCGCAGGGAGCUGUUCCUGUUUCCUCGCCCUUCAGUUCUCAGAUGGAAAGCACAAACUGUGUCCAUCGAUUGCUUUGCAGCUCCAGAUUUUUGCUGCUCUCAGUGGAAUUUAAUUCAGUCCAUGUGAAGGCUGAAUGAUGGUCAGUUUUGCAUUCUGCACCUAAAAUCUUGUUGGAAAGACUGCAGACUGGCUGGUGCUGGCUGUAGGAAGAACUGUUGCAUAAUGGGAGCACUGAUGUCCUCAGCAAAAUUUAAUAAAGCUCAUCAAAACUCCCUUUGCUGCCCA
rnacentral:lncRNA from 1 species